rnacentral:rRNA from 1 species
GAUGAACGCUGGCGGCGUGCCUAAUACAUGCAAGUCGAGCGAACAGACGAGGAGCUUGCUCCUCUGACGUUAGCGGCGGACGGGUGAGUAACACGUGGAUAACCUACCUAUAAGACUGGGAUAACUUCGGGAAACCGGAGCUAAUACCGGAUAAUAUAUUGAACCGCAUGGUUCAAUAGUGAAAGACGGUUUUGCUGUCACUUAUAGAUGGAUCCGCGCCGCAUUAGCUAGUUGGUAAGGUAACGGCUUACCAAGGCAACGAUGCGUAGCCGACCUGAGAGGGUGAUCGGCCACACUGGAACUGAGACACGGUCCAGACUCCGACGGGAGGCAGCAGUAGGGAAGCUUCCGCAAUGGGCGGAAGCCUGACGGAGCAACGCCGCGUGGGUGAUGAAAGGCUGCGGAUCGUAAAACUCUGUUAUUAGGGAAGAUCAAAUGUGUAAGUAACUAUGCACGUCUUGACGGUACCUAAACAGAAGGCCACGGCUAACUACGU